rnacentral:rRNA from 1 species
GUGCCAGCAGCCGCGGUAAUACGUAGGUGGCAAGCGUUGUCCGGAUUUACUGGGCGUAAAGCGCGCGCAGGCGGACUGAUCAGUCUGGGGUGAAAUCUCCCGGCUCAACUGGGAGCGGUCCCUGGAUACUGUCAGUCUUGAGAGACCUAGAGGAGAGCGGAAUUCCCGGUGUAGUGGUGGAAUGCGUAGAUAUCGGGAAGAACACCAGUGGCGAAAGCGGCUCUCUGGGGGUUUUCUGACGCUGAGGCGCGAAAGCGUGGGGAGCGAACCGGAUUAGAUACCCGCGUAGUCC